CAGUCGCCGCGGGAAUACGUAGGUGGCAAGCGUUGUCCGGAAUUAUUGGGCGUAAAGGGCUCGCAGGCGGUUUCUUAAGCCUGAUGUGAAAGCCCCCGGCUCAACCGGGGAGGGUCAUUGGAAACUGGGAAACUUGAGUGCAGAAGAGGAGAGUGGAAUUCCACGUGUAGCGGUGAAAUGCGUAGAGAUGUGGAGGAACACCAGUGGCGAAGGCGACUCUCUGGUCUGUAACUGACGCUGAGGAGCGAAAGCGUGGGGAGCGAACAGGAUUAGAUACCCGGGUAGUCCCUGUCUCUUAUAC
rnacentral:rRNA from 1 species